ACCGCACGCCAUCACCCCGAAGGGAUCCGGUCAAAUGCGGGUUAGGACUCUUAGCACCACUGGAUUAACUGGGGCGGUUGUUCGCCGGUACGGGAAUAUCAACCCGUUGUCCAUCGACAACGCCGGUCGGCCUCGCCUUAGGUCCCGACUUACCCAGGGCGGAUUAACCGGGCCCGGGAACCCUUGGUCUUUCGGAGGACGGGUUUCUCACCCGUCUUUCCCUACUCAGGCCUGCAUUCUCACUCGUGUACCGUCCACGGCGGGGCCACCUCCUUGAGCACAAUGGGCGAAAGCCUGAUGCAGCAACGCCGCGUGAGGGAUGACGGCCUUCGGGUUGUAAACCUCUUUUAGUAGGGAAGAAGCGAAAGUGACGGUACCUGCAGAAAAAGCACCGGCUAACUACGUGCCAGCAGCCGCGGUAAUACGUAGGGUGCAAGCGUUGUCCGGAAUUAUUGGGCGUAAAGAGCUCGUAGGCGGUUUGUCGCGUCUGCUGUGAAAUCCCGAGGCUCAACCUCGGGCUUGCAGUGGGUACGGGCAGACUAGAGUGCGGUAGGGGAGAUUGGAAUUCCUGGUGUAGCGGUGGAAUGCGCAGA
rnacentral:rRNA from 1 species